AAAUAAAAAGGGGUGAAAAGAACAAAGUUUUGUCCAUCUUUGUUCAUCAUACCCGACAGUUAGAAAAGAGAAAGGAGAGGAGAAAGCUCUUGAAUGUUCGGUCACUUGGGGAAAAAAAUUGAAGGAAAUCCCCAACCAUAGUGGGCUUGGAGUUGUGAGGGAAUUUGGAGUGGCCAUCCAUUCUGAAAGUUUGGUUUUCUUCUGGUGAACUAGACAUCCUAUUAUUUACGUUGAGGUUUGGGUUUUUAAAUGUAAUAAGGCCGCUUAAUUAUUUUUGAUGGUUUUAAUAUGUAUUACUAAGAUAGGUAUUACUUA